AUUGCGUGUCAAUUAGUUGAAGUCGGAAACUGGUUUUCGAGAGCAUUUGCGAGAGAAACAAGUCUGUGUAGGGAGAUCUCUGCGUAUUUCAUGCUCGUCGAUGGAGAUGAUAUUGUGUUCAAAGUCUCAAAGCUGGGAAUACCAAAGAGGUUCAUG